AUAACACUUGACAAACAUGGACAUGAUCACCAAUUAAAAAUCUGCUACAGAUUACUCACUCACUCUCCUCAAUGAAUCUGAUGACUCCUUUAGCCACUAAGUCAUCAAUCUGGGCCUGAAAAAGCUUCUUUUGACGAACAUUUUCCUUUUCUAGUUGAUGUAAUACGCCGAAUGCGACUGGUAAACCUAUCACCGAUACUCGAGUCCAAACAUCUAUUGCACCAAACCAUUUCGCAAACCUUGCUACUGCACCCGCCAUGACUGGAUCUGG